rnacentral:lncRNA from 1 species
GUUUUCCUAUAUACUUUUAUAAAAUUCCUGAGACAAGUGCCUGUGAUUGCAUAUGGCUAACUCAGCAGAUAAAUAGUAGUUUUAUGACUUCAGGUUAUCAGAACAACCAUUGCAAAACAAUUGGUACGUGUUGCUGAUGUGCGCACUUAAUAACUUAUCACCCAAGGCGUUGAGUAUCGGCUAUAGUCGAUAGCUGGUUAUAUAAACCACACAAUAACUCGUGUACAACUAUUCAAAAGAGAAAAACAACGGCAUAAUUUAUAAACAAUAUACAAAAACUAAUAUUAACACAGCAAAAAUCAAAAGACAUUGCCUGAACACCAUUCCCGUUAAACCAUCGCACUUUGGCGUGUAAACCAACGUCACAAGUUAACGUUUCAUAUACCAUCGCACUUUAGCGUGUCAUACCAUCGCACUUUAGCGUGUCAUCUGAUUGAAUAUAAAAAACAAACAACC